GCUCGUGUAGCUCAGUUGGUUAGAGCGCGGGACUGUUAAUCUCGAGGUCCCUGGUUCAAACCCAGGCGUGAGCG
rfam:Protomyces lactucaedebilis strain 12-1054 BCR37scaffold_5, whole genome shotgun sequence.